rnacentral:rRNA from 1 species
AUUGAACGCUGGCGGCAGGCCUAACACAUGCAAGUCGAACGAUAGUCGGACGGGUGAGAACUGUAUGGGGACAGCCCGAUAGAGAGGGGUAACUACUGGAAAAGGUGGCUAAUAACGCGUACUGCCUGAUAACGCACAAGGGAUUAGCUAGUAGGUAAGGUAAUGGCUUACCUAGGCGACGAUCCCUAGCUGGUAUGAGAGGAUGAUCAGCCACCCUGGGACUUAGACACGGCCCAGACGCCUACGGAGGCAGCAGUGGGUAAUAUUGAACAAUGGGCGCAAGCCUGAUGCAGCCAGGCCGCGUGUAUGAAGAAGGCCCUAGGGUUGUAAAGUACUUUCAGUCGGGAGGCGUUACCUACAGAAGAAGCACCGGCUAACUCCGUGCCAGCAGCCGCGGUAAUAC